rnacentral:rRNA from 1 species
UACGUAGGGAGCAAGCGUUGUCCGGAAUCAUUGGGCGUAAAGCGCGCGUAGGUGGCCCCCGUAAGUCCGCUGUGAAAGUCAAAGGCUCAACCUUUGAAAGCCGGUGGAUACUGUGGGACUAGAGUACGGAAGAGGCGAGUGGAAUUCCUGGUGUAGCGGUGGAAUGCGCAGAUAUCAGGAGGAACACCAAUAGCGAAGGCAGCUCGCUGGACGUUACUGACACUGAGGCGCGAAAGCGUGGGAGCGAACAGG